rnacentral:rRNA from 1 species
AUCUCCCCCAAGAGUCCACAUCGACGGGGAGGUUUGGCACCUCGAUGUCGGCUCAUCACAUCCUGGGGCUGUAGUAGGUCCCAAGGGUUGGGCUGUUCGCCCAUUAAAGUGGUACGCGAGCUGGGUUAAGAACGUCGUGAGACAGUUCGGUCCCUAUCCGUCGCAGGCGUAGGAAAUUUGAGAAGACCUGUCCUUAGUACGAGAGGACCGGGAUGGACGUACCUCUGGUGUACCAGUUGUCCUGCCAAGGGCAUGGCUGGGUAGCU